AGUGAACGCUGGCGAUAGGCCUAACACAUGCAAGUCGAACGGCAGCACAGUAGGAGCUUGCUCUUACGGGUGGCGAGUGGCGGACGGGUGAGGAAUACAUCGGAAUCUACUUUUUCGUGGGGGAUAACGUAGGGAAACUUACGCUAAUACCGCAUACGACCUACGGGUGAAAGCAGGGGAUCUUCGGACCUUGCGCGAUUGAAUGAGCCGAUGUCGGAUUAGCUAGUUGGCGGGGUAAAGGCCCACCAAGGCGACGAUCCGUAGCUGGUCUGAGAGGAUGAUCAGCCACACUGGAACUGAGACACGGUCCAGACUCCUACGGGAGGCAGCAGUGGGGAAUAUUGGACAAUGGGCGCAAGCCUGAUCCAGCCAUACCGCGUGGGUGAAGAAGGCCUUCGGGUUGUAAAGCCCUUUUGUUGGGAAAGAAAAGCAGCAGGUUAAUACCCCGCUGUUCUGACGGUACCCAAAGAAUAAGCACCGGCUAACUUCGUG
rnacentral:rRNA from 1 species